rnacentral:rRNA from 1 species
UCUGGAGGAAUACCGGUGGCGAAGGCGGCCCCCUGGACAAAGACUGACGCUCAGGUGCGAAAGCGUGGGGAGCAAACAGGAUUAGAUACCCUGGUAGUCCACGCCGUAAACGAUGUCGAUUUGGAGGUUGUGCCCUUGAGGCGUGGCUUCCGGAGCUAACGCGUUAAAUCGACCGCCUGGGGAGUACGGCCGCAAGGUUAAAACUCAAAUGAAUUGACGGGGGCCCGCACAAGCGGUGGAGCAUGUGGUUUAAUUCGAUGCAACGCGAAGAACCUUACCUGGUCUUGACAUCCACAGAACUUUCCAGAGAUGGAUUGGUGCCUUCGGGAACUGUGAGACAGGUGCUGCAUGGCUGUCGUCAGCUCGUGUUGUGAAAUGUUGGGUUAAGUCCCGCAACGAGCGCAACCC